CGGAGACAGUACCUCGAGCUCGAGUGCCUUCUCCCACCUCCUCUGCCCUCUAGGCUUCAAGGGAAACAGAAGUUCUUCUCAAGUUAAACAACAAAGCGAAACGUCCUGUAUCCAAGUCAUAUGUAGAUAUGAACAAAGAGCAAAGAAUUUGUCCUGGAAGUCCUCGUAUUCUUCUCCUCAUCUUCCUGGUCACCUAUAAACUGAUCAUUGAGAAAGAGAAUGGGCUCACAAUGAAAGUCAGGUUUUACACUAGUCUGUUUUGCCCUGAGCUGUGGAGAGGAUCAAGAUCCCAGAGGAAUGGAUACUCCAACUGGGUGGGAACCAGAUGGGGAAAUUGAGGUCAAGAGAGAUCUCAGAUCUGGAACAAGGCUGGAGAGCGGAGUGCCUUGAAUACUAAGCUAAGGGAUCUCAGCUCUGCAAUGCGGACCAGUGAUGUUUCAACAUUUCCUCAUUUGAAUGCUUAUUCAUUGACCCACUUCCUACAUGCCAUGUGACCAGAUGUCCCAAGAAGAGUUCCUUUGGGAUGAAGUUAAUUCUCAUCCUUUGUAUACCAUUGUGAAAUAGCACUGGUGAGAUGGUGACAAGACACAUCUGAAGCAAUCACCUAGACGAGUGCCAAGGAUCCAAAAGCUUUAGCUUCUCAUCCUGCUGUUAACUUGUUCUGCUAGCCCAGAUGGAAUCCUGAGCUCUCCUAUAGUUAAACAAGAAGGAUUCAUCCUCAGAACCAGUGGCUCUGGCCCCUUCUCCCACCAUGAACUGGAUACUGGAGUAAGAGGUGCCACAACCUUGUGUGACCCAGAUACUCGUUCAUUGAUUUUUUCCCUACUAAUUAUUGAGCACUUCAGAUGCCCUGGUUGUUGAGGAUAAGCAAUAAAGAGGUUUCUAGAUCCUUUCGGGGUUGACAUGUGGGCAGUAUAAUCUUCUGUGAUCCUACCUCAGCGAAAACAUUCCAGUCAUCUGUGGGCAGGGGUAACAAAGGCCAUGAAACUUCUGCAGGUUUAGGGGUGGAGAGGGGCCUCCCUGCUGGGGGCCCAUCUCCUCUGCCACCUCGUUCCUGUCAUACAGCAGUGAGGAUCGGGACCUGCUCUGUCAACUCUGUUACGUGGUUUACUGACCAAGGUAACCAGGAGAUCAGCCUGUGGAGUCUGGGGGUCAGGAGGGCUUGAGUUUGAGUCUUGAAUCCAUCAUUAAUCAGUUGUGUGACUUUGGAAACUCAGUCUCUUCAGUUCACUCAAAAGGAGGCUGGGCUAUGAGAAGUCCAACAAAGCACAUGGUAAGCAUUUUACUAGAUUACUAUUAAUUUUUUAAAGCUAUAUAUUCUUUGGCCAUGAACAAGCAAAGAAAGAGAACAAACAAUGAUCAGAAUGAUAGCUAACAUUUAUUGAGUGCCUAGGAUGGAUUAGACACUGUUGAAAGAUCUCUCCGUGUACUAAAUUAAUUCUCUUCACAAGCAAUGAGGUCUGUACAAUUAACGUCAGUGUACAAAGAAGAAGCACAUCCAGCCACAGGUAGAGGAGUCAGGAUUUGAACCAAGGUGGCUGAACUUGAGCGCUUGCACUCACCAGCAGGAGGUACAACUUACAUAUAGCAAAGCGCACAAAUCUCAUGAGAAAGCUUGAUGAGUUUUUAUAUAUGUAUACAUCCAGGUAGCCAUUACCCAGAUCAAGAUGAUCAGAGGGAGAUUCAGAGAAGACGGUGAUUUGCUCAGACUUAAGCCACAGCAAAGCCAUGCCUGGAACUCAAUUACUAGAUAGAAGUUUCUUAUGAACUUCUGAGCUGUCUGAAAUGGGUGCUAUAUAUCACUCAACCUGGCUGCUGGUCAGAUGUGGAAAGGACAAUCUGAGUCAGAAGCCCUGGGUUCAAGCCCCACAACUGUUACCAGUGUGUGAUGCAUGGCAAGGUACUUGCUGCUGUGAACUAACUGGAAAGUGGAUACCCCUGCUUCCCAGCAUUGCUGGAUUAAAGGAGAUCACGAUGCAGAGACACUCCAUUGGUUGAGAAGCACUUAACAUCAUUAUUAUCAUUACCAUCAAAAUAUAUUCUAAGGGGAUGCUUUGGAGCCCGAGAUGUAAGGUUGAGCUGAACAGAGGCAUGAUGCACAGAUAACUGUGGCUCAAACCUGAAGAGUGAAGCAGGGUGAGGCCCACGGUGUGGAGGCUGGCCAGAGCGGACAGUUACUGAGAACAUUCUACGCGGUGAGCGCUGCUCUGAGUGCUCUUCCUCUAUCCUCCCAUUUAAUCCUCACAAAACCCCGUGAGGAACAACCUGUAUAUGCCCAUUUUCCAAAGAAGGACUUGAGGCACAGAGCACUUAAGCAACUCGCUUAAUGUCACAGUCAAUGGCAUUGAAACCCUGGCACCCCCAAGCGUAUGGUCUUUUCGUUCACCCUGCAUUCAUUCACCCAAGGCUGACACAGUGCCCCCUCUGUGCUAGGGGGCGGGGUGCAGAGCUGAACACUUUGGUUCCCCCAACCCCACAGCCCUCACCGUCUUUCUAAUCCAAUCCAGUUGGCACUCUCCCACACUUAACUCAAGAACUGCUCUGAAAUGUGGCUGGUCUGAGCUCAUGUGCUGUAUGUGUAGAAUACAUACCAGGUUUAGAAGACCUAAUACAAAAAGAAUGCAAAAUAUACCAUUAAUAAUUUUUAAUAUUGACUGCAUGUUGAAGUGACUGUGUUUUGGAUACAAACUAUAUCAUUAAGGUUUAUUGUACCUUUAAGAAAAAAAAGUGGCCACCAGAAAACUAAAGUCAUGUGGGCGUUCACAUGCUAUUUCUGUUGGAUGGCGUUGCUCUAGAAUGUGAAGUCUUUGAAGGUAGGGGCCAUCUCUGUAUUAUUCACUGUGGGUCCCAGGAGACAGAACAGGGCCAGUACACAAUGGUCCCUCAAUAGAGUUGUUGGAUAAUUGAAUAAAUGACCAAAUCCCACGCA